rnacentral:rRNA from 1 species
AACGAACGCUGGCGGCAUGCCUAACACAUGCAAGUCGAACGAGACCUUCGGGUCUAGUGGCGCACGGGUGUGUAACGCGUGGGAACCUGCCCUUAGGUUCGGAAUAACUCCACGAAAGGGGUGCUAAUACCGGAUAAUGUCUUCGGACCAAAGAUUUAUCGCCUUUGGAUGGGCCCGCGUUGGAUUAGCUAGUUGGUAGGGUAAAAGCCUACCAAGGCGACGAUCCAUAGCUGGUCUGAGAGGAUGAUCAGCCACACUGGGACUGAGACACGGCCCAGACUCCUACGGGAGGCAGCAGUGGGGAAUAUUGGACAGUGGGCGAAAUCCUGAUCCAGCAAUGCCGCGUGAAUGAUGAAGGCCUUAGAGUUGUAAAGCUCUUUUACCCGGGAUGAUAAUGACAGUACCGGGAGAAUAAGCUCCGGCUAACUCCGUG